rnacentral:rRNA from 1 species
AUUGAACGCUGCGGCAGGCUUAACACAUGCAAGUCGAGCGAGCGGCGGACGGGGGAGUAAUGCUUAGGAAUCUGCCUAUUAGUGGGGGACAACAUCUAGAAAGGGAUGCUAAUACCGCAUACUUAUAGAUGAGUUUAAGUCGGAUUAGCUAGUUGGUGGGGUAAAGGCCUACCAAGGCCACGAUCUGUAGCCGGUCUGAGAGGGUGAUCCGGCACACUUGGAAUGGGAAACGGGCCAGACGUCUACGGGAGGCAGCAGUGGGGAAUAGUUGACAAUGGGGGGAACCCUGAUCCAGCCAUGCCGCGUGUGGGAAGAAGGCCUUAUGGUUGUAAAGCACUUUAAGCGAGGAGGCGUUACUCGCAGAGUAAGCACCGGCUAACUCCGUGCCAGCAGCCGCGGUAAUAC